GUCUCUGGCCAUGCUAGCCUGGACAAGCCCGAUCCCGUCUGAUUUUGGAAGCUAUGCAGGGUUGGGCCUGGUUAGUACUUGGAUAGGAGACCGCUUAGGAAGACUAGUUCUAUAGGCA
rnacentral:rRNA from 1 species